rnacentral:rRNA from 1 species
GACGAACGCUGGCGGCGUGCCUAAUACAUGCAAGUCGAGCGAGACUCUUCGGAGUCUAGCGGCGGACGGGUGAGUAACACGCGGGCAACCUGCUUGUAAGACUGGGAUAACACCGGGAAACCGGUGCUAAUACCGGAUAAUCCUUUUCCUCUCAUGAGGAAAAGCUGAAAGUCGGUUUCGGCUGACACUUACAGAUGGGCCCGCGGCGCAUUAGCUAGUUGGUGAGGUAACGGCUCACCAAGGCGACGAUGCGUAGCCGACCUGAGAGGGUGAUCGGCCACACUGGGACUGAGACACGGCCCAGACUCCUACGGGAGGCAGCAGUAGGGAAUCUUCCACAAUGGACGAAAGUCUGAUGGAGCAACGCCGCGUGAGCGAUGAAGGCCUUCGGGUCGUAAAGCUCUGUUGUUAGGGAAGAACAAGUACCGGAGUAACUGCCGGUACCUUGACGGUACCUAACCAGAAAGCCACGGCUAACUACGUGCCAGCAGCCGCGGUAAUAC